UGACGGUCACAUCACGUUGAAACCAACGGAUCUCAUAUGAUCAUCGAAGUUAACCAACGAGCCGGGUCAGUACGUGUAUGGGCGACGGCUUGGUAAUACCAGGUGAUGUAA